rnacentral:rRNA from 1 species
UACGUAGGGUGCGAGCGUUGUCCGGAAUUAUUGGGCGUAAAGGGCUCGUAGGCGGUUUGUCGCGUCGGGAGUGAAAUCCACUGGCUUAACUGGUGGCUUGCUUUCGAUACGGGCAGACUGGAGGUAUGCAGGGGAGAGCGGAAUUCCUGGUGUAGCGGUGAAAUGCGCAGAUAUCAGGAGGAACACCGGUGGCGAAGGCGGUUCUCUGGGCAUGUCCUGACGCUGAGGAGCGAAAGUGUGGGGAGCGAACAGG